AGCAGCCGCGGUAAUUCCAGCUCCAAUAGCGUAUAUUAAAGUUGUUGCAGUUAAAAAGCUCGUAGUUGAAUUUCGGGAUCAAUAUGUCGGUCGUGCCUUCGGUACGUACUGGCAUCAUUGGUUUCUCCCUUCUGACAAACCAUGAUGUCAUUAAUUUGGUGUUAUGGGGAGUUAGGACUGUUACUUUGAAAAAAUUAGAGUGUUUAAAGCAGGCAUUAGCUUGAAUACAUUAGCAUGGAAUAAUGAAAUAGGACGUUUGACCCUAUUUUGUUGGUUUCUAGGAUCGACGUAAUGAUUAAUAGGGAUAGUUGGGGGCAUUAGUAUUCAAUUGUCAGAGGUGAAAUUCUUGGAUUUAUUGAAGACUAACUACUGCGAAAGCAUUUGCCAAGGAUGUUUUCAUUAAUCAAGAACGAAAGUUAGGGGAUCGAAGACGAUCAGAUACCGUCGUAGUCUUAACCAUAAACUAUGCCGACUAGGAAUCAGAUGAUGUUAAUUUUUUAAUGACUCA
rnacentral:rRNA from 1 species